rnacentral:rRNA from 1 species
CUACGGGCUGCUGCAGUGGGGAAUACUGCACAAUGGAGGAAACUCUGAUGCAGCAACGCCGCGUGGAGGAUGACACUUUUCGGAGCGUAAACUCCUUUUAUAUAGGAAGAAGAUGACGGUACUAUAUGAAUAAGCGCCGGCUAACUCCGUGCCAGCGAGCCGCGGUAAUACGGAGGGCGCAAGCGUUACUCGGAAUCACUGGGCGUAAAGAGCGUGUAGGCGGAUUAAAAAGUCAGAAGUGAAAUCCUAUAGCUUAACUAUAGAACUGCUUCUGAAACUCUUAAUCUAGAAUAUGGGAGAGGUAGAUGGAAUUUCUGGUGUAGGGGUAAAAUCCGUAGAGAUCAGAAGGAAUACCGAUUGCGAAGGCGAUCUACUAGAACAUUAUUGACGCUGAGACGCGAAAGCGUGGGGAGCAAACAGGAUUAGAUACCCGGGUAGUC